rnacentral:lncRNA from 1 species
GCUCUACUGAAUUCACCUGUUUUUACCUUUCCUUGAAAUAGUACCAACAAAUAAAUAAAAAUACUUCCUUGCAAAUUAAGGAGCCAGGGUACUAGAUACCACAGACACCUUCCAUCAAUGUAUGUUAUGAAGAUGAAAUAAAAUGCAAGAGUACUCCACAAAAAGUCCUUAAGCAAAUGCCAUUUUUCAUUUGAUCCCAAAUAAUUAUUUCUAGCACCAACUACCCAGAACUUCAAAACAGCUGAAUUCAACACUGGGUGCAAAAUGAAAAGACCAAUCACAAAUCAAGAUCUCCUUUUAAAAACACUUUAAAAAGGAGUUUUCUGCAUUUAUUUUCCCUCUUUUGCAUAAGUUUCUCUUCCAAUCCUCAAAACCUGGCAUAGUGAGAUUGUCCUUUAAUCUAGAAAAAUGUAGGCAGCAACAUUUUCAUUUUGAGUGCUGCUGAAGAAGUAGAGGAAGGUGACUGACUUGCUAUUUUUUUUUUUUUUAAAUCCAUCAGCAAAGUCUGUGACUGUCUCCUGCCCCAACUUUCUGCUCUGGGAGAUCUAAUGCCCACUCUACCACCAGCCCUCUUUCCAUCCCUAAGGGCAGGUGGCUCACAACCAGCCCUGCAGAGCCCUCAGAAAUGAAGCCCACACCAGCCACAGCAAAGCCUAAUCAUCAUUUAGGCCGAAACACUAAUGCUGUUGUCACAGAAGGGAAGACCAAAGGACAAAAUACAGGAAGUAAUUCAAGGCUUGCUGUUACCCAUCCCAUCCUGGAAGAUGAAGCAUGAGGUUUCUAAAUCACUAACCCAUGAAGACCGAACAACAGCUGUACACCCACCAAAUGCUCUCUCCAGAUAAAGCCUAACAACAGAGAAAACCAGAAUUUUGCAUUUGUGGUUUACACCCUAGAGCUGUAUGAUGAUGUGCUUGGCUGAAUUUUUAUUAUUUCUUAAGUUGGCUCAUUUUUAGAAGUACCCAGAUACUUUAAGACAAAAGCGUUUGCAGACAUACCCUUCAAGAACAACCCUGCUUCCAGUGCAGGCACUGUAUCAAUUUCCAGUGCCCUGUCUCCCAGCACUGCCUGGAGCUGAUCCUCACCCUUGCACAGGAUGUAUUUCAGGAAGAUAUAAUUGCAGGAAGGGGAAGGGGCCUGAGCACUCCCAACAAUUUCAGUCCUCAAAGAUCUGUCCAGAAUAGUAUCAUGGGACAGACUGCCUGUGCAACGGUGCUAAGAGAAAUUCUUGAGGAAAACACAGAAACAUUGAUUUUGUUUGGGUGAUUUGUUCUUUCUUUGGUUUGGGUUUGUUUAUUGUUGUGGUUUUUUGUUUUUUU